CGGGGCUUAAAGUCUUGUAAUUGGAAUGAUGGGAAUUUAAACCUCUUCCAGAGUAUCAAUUGGAGGGCAAGUCUGGUGCCAGCAGCCGCGGUAAUUCCAGCUCCAAUAGCGUAUAUUAAAAUUGUUGCAGUUAAAAAGCUCGUAGUUGAAUUUCUGCUGCAUUGCUUGUGUCCCUCUGGGGUCUGUGCAUGUGGCUUUUUUCGGACGGAGUUUCUUUGUCUGAAUGUUUACUUUGAGAAAAUUAGAGUGCUCAAAGCAGGCUUUCGCCUUUAAUAGUUUAGCAUGGAAUAAUAAAGUAGGACUUUGGUUCUAUUUUGUUGGUUUUAGGUACCAAAGUAAUGGUUAAUAGGAACAGUUGGGGGCAUUCGUAUUUAACUGUCAGAGGUGAAAUUCUUAGAUUUGUUAAAGACGAACUACUGCGAAAGCAUUUGCCAAGGAUGUUUUCAUUAAUCAAGAAC
rnacentral:rRNA from 1 species